rnacentral:rRNA from 1 species
GAUGAACGCUGGCGGCGUGCCUAAUACAUGCAAGUCGAGCGAAUGGAUUAAGAGCUUGCUCUUAUGAAGUUAGCGGCGGACGGGUGAGUAACACGUGGGUAACCUGCCCAUAAGACUGGGAUAACUCCGGGAAACCGGGGCUAAUACCGGAUAACAUUUUGAACCGCAUGGUUCGAAAUUGAAAGGCGGCUUCGGCUGUCACUUAUGGAUGGACCCGCGUCGCAUUAGCUAGUUGGUGAGGUAACGGCUCACCAAGGCAACGACGCGUAGCCGACCUGGGGGGGUGAUCGGCCACACUGGGACUGAGACACGGCCCAGACUCCUACGGGAGGCGGCAGUAGGGAAUCUUCCGCAAUGGACGAAAGUCUGACGGAGCAACGCCGCGUGAGUGAUGAAGGCUUUCGGGUCGUAAAACUCUGUUGUUAGGGAAGAACAAGUGCUAGUUGAAUAAGCUGGCACCUUGACGGUACCUAACCAGAAAGCCACGGCUAACUGCGUGCCAGCCGCCGCCGUAA